UAUUGGUCAAUGGCCGCAGGGCUGAACCAGCCAAGUCGCGUGAGGGAUGACGGUCCUAUGGAUUGUAAACCUCUUUUGUCAGGGAGCAAAGGGCGCCACGUGUGGCGUUUUGCGAGUACCUGAAGAAAAAGCAUCGGCUAACUCCGUGCCAGCAGCCGCGGUACUACGGAGGAUGCGAGCGUUAUCCGGAUUUAUUGGGUUUAAAGGGUGCGCAGGCGGCCUGUUAAGUCUGCGGUAAAAGCCCGGGGCUCGACCCCGGCGAGCCGUUGAAACUGGCGGGCUGGAGUUGGAGAGAAGUACGCGGAAUGCGCGGUGUAGCGGUGAAAUGCUUAGAUAUCGCGCAGAACCCCGAUUGCGAAGGCAGCGUACCGGCUCCACACUGACGCUGAGGCACGAAAGCGUGGGUAUCG
rnacentral:rRNA from 1 species